ACAUACGGCCAUAGAUCAAAGAGAACUGGGUAUCCCGUCCGCUCUGCCCUCACAUAAGCCUUGAAUCGGUAGAUUAGUAGUUAGAUGGGUGACCACUAGCGAAUACCUACUGCUGUAUGUU
rnacentral:rRNA from 1 species